GACAGAGGAUGCAAGCGUUAUCCGGAAUGAUUGGGCGUAAAGCGUCUGUAGGUGGCUUUUCAAGUCCCAGGGCUCAACCCUGGACAGGCGGUGGAAACUACCAAGCUGGAGUACGGUAGGGGCAGAGGGAAUUUCUAGUGGAGCGGUGAAAUGCGCAGAUAUCAGGAGGAACACCGGUGGCGAAGGCGGCUCUCUGGACGGUGACUGACGCUGAGACGCGAAAGCGUGGGGAGCAAACAGG
rnacentral:rRNA from 1 species